GCCGAGGUAGCUCAGCUGGUAGAGCAGCGGACUGAAAAUCCGCGUGUCGUCGGUUCAAGUCCGACCCUUGGCACCA
rnacentral:tRNA from 1 species